UAUUUACGCUGUGCCAGAUUUAACCUUGAUACAAAGACUAAGGUUUACCUUAACGGUAAGGUCAAUAAAAAUUUAACAUAAAAAUAAAAUUAAUUUAAACACCUUAAAGGAUGGCGCUAAUGAAUAAAGUAAGGAACGACCACUUAAUAACAGCUUGGCUAUCGAUUUGAAAAGAAGCAAACACAAGGUAAGCUACAGCGACAAAUUAUCACCAACAUAGGCUUUAUUAUGGAUAACUUUACAAUUAGUGUUAUAUUUUUUGCAAUAGCUGAAUACCUAAUUCUUAAAUAUUUAGUUCCAAUAAAAUACUCUUGAGGCAUAGGAAUAUCGCUAUUUAUAUUGGCAGUAUUAAGCGGGGUUGUAAUUUAUUUCGUUACUGAC
rnacentral:misc_RNA from 1 species